GGGGAUAUAGCUCAGUAGUACAGCACCUGCCUGGCAAAUGUGAGGUCCUGAGUUCAAUUCCCAGUACCCCCU
rnacentral:tRNA from 1 species